UUCACGCUCAUAAACCCGCGGCAGACUGUGGAGCACGGUGGACAGCAAACGGAAGGCAGGCAGGAGUUUGUAAAGAGGUUGUCCAAAGUUGUUUGGUCGAAAAAGUUGGCGGCAGGUGCUGCUGAACUUCAAAACAUCUUCAUCCUGCAACAUCUGGACUCACAACUCGUCUUACCGUUCUUGUCUUGUUUACGGAACACCCACAGCUGACAGAAACAGCCAGAAAACACGGGCCGGAUUACCGGAUUACGGUGCUAGACGGAUUUACAGAACGGUGCAGAGUGCACCCAGAGUCCAGCAGAGUGCAGAAGGCACUGGAAAAAAUCAAAUCAGUGAAGUUGGUUCAGAGUGAAGGACACACCGAACUCAGAAAACAUGGCUUGUACAUCACAGUCUGCCAAAGAUUAUGUAAAGACUGCCAGAGUCCAUCUUGUGAGAGAAUUGAAGAAUCUGUCUGUGAUUGUGCAGAAUUUGAAUCAGAAAGGGGUUCUUGGUGAGGAAGAGGUCAGCUUAAUACAGACAGAGAAAACUGAUGAAAACAAAAGAAGAAUGAUACUGGACUCAGUCAUUAAAAAAGGCGAAGAAGCCUGCUAUGAGUUACUCAAGAUUAUAGACAUGACGAGGAAGAGGACUUUAGGGAGGCUUCCUUUUCUUUCUGAGAAAACGAAUGAAACUUCCAGAGAGACCAAGUUUGACCUGCACCACUGGAUCAGCUGCUUUUCUUUCAAGGAAGAACCACAAAUGGACAGGAACUACUUACAAGAGCAACAUAUGCCCACAUCCAGACGACAACCUUUUCAGGGAAGGCCUUGCAUAUUUUGGCAAUAAGUUGCUAAACUGAAGACUGUUUGUGGUAGAAGAGUUUUGGUGCUGAGCUGGCUGGUCUGCAGUCCAAACCUUUCGCCAGCUUAAAACAGUUGGUACAUGAAACCGAAGAUAUGACAAAGAAGACCCAGGACUGAGUACAUAGAAUCCUACAUCAGACACAAAUGGGACAACAUUCCCCCUACAAAAGUUCAGCAACUGGUCUCCUUAGUUCCCAAAAAUCCAUGUUCAGUGUUGUUAAAAGAAGAGGGGAUGCUACACAAUGGGGGGGGAAAAUGCACCUGUUGAGACUGUCAUUGCUGUCAAAAUCAAGAUGAACUAAAUAUGACAAAUAUAUCAUUUUCAGUCUCUCCUUUUGCCUUCAAAACUGCCUUAAUUCGUUGUGGCACAGAUUCAACAAGGUGCUAGAAACAUUCCAUAGAUAUUUUGGUCCAUUUUGACAUGAUGGCAUCACAUAGUUGCUGCAGAUUUGUCAGCUGUACGUCCAUGAUGUAAAUCUCCCAGCUCUGGACAGCCCAAAGGUACUUCGUUGGAUUGGGUUCUGACUGUGGAGACCAUUUGAGUACCAUGAACUACUUGCCAUGGUCAAACCAGUUACUUUAUUUGACAUGCUGUGUGUUCUCACUGGAUGCAGCCAUCACUGUCUUCAUAAAGCAAUGGACUCAGGUAGGCUGUGAAAAUCCCUGUAGAUCAGUAGUUUCUCAAAUACCCAGACCAGACCAUCUGGCCCAAACAGCAAUGCCAAUUUCAAUGUCAAUUAAAUAACCUUUCUUCUCCACUCUCUGAUAGUCAGUUUGAACUUCAGUAGGUUGUCUUGACCAUGUCCACAUGCCUAAAUACACUGGUGUCAUGUGAUUGACUGUUUACUUUAAUAAACUGUUGAACACCAGCUAUUUCGUUAGGUAUAUGUUCUACUGUAAAUAAA